CAACUUUCAGCAACGGAUCUCUUGGCUCUCGCAUCGAUGAAGAACGCAGCGAAAUGCGAUAAGUAAUGUGAAUUGCAGAAUUUAGUGAAUCAUCGAAUCUUUGAACGCACCUUGCGCUCCUUGGUAUUCCGAGGAGCAUGCCUGUUUGAGUGUCAUUA
rnacentral:rRNA from 1 species